rnacentral:misc_RNA from 1 species
UUACAGGUACACAUUAAUUUUUAAUUUUUUCAGCAAUAUCGGUAACCUGAUUCAGAUUUGAUUAUAGAAUGCCAAUAACGCGCUGAAAACGACCACCAACAAUGUCGUCAAACUGGAAUCCAUCGUGAAAGAACAAAAACUAGCGGCUGAAAAAAUUCAAAAACAAAUCGAACAAUUUAUGAUCAAAAGAUUGAACGCACAAGCUGAGAUUGAUAGUCUGAACACACAACUCGAUGAUAUGAGUAAAGAAAAUGUUGAGAAGACAAAAAAAUUGAAGACCCUGGAACAGGAUAACAACAGGCUGCUCAGCGAGGUUGAAAA